rnacentral:lncRNA from 1 species
CGUGAGUUAGAAAUGUAUGAUAGCGUGUGGAGUGUGUAGUAUACUACUCACACUUAUAAUUAUGUUUAUGUUUUCUAACUCUCUGCUUUGUGUUAAUUGCUGGACCUUUGGGGGUCCAGGUUGACAGGUUAUGUGUUAGCCUCGUCCGAGUGCAAUGGUGAAGCUCUGCUCUGAUUGAGACACGGGAAAAAGGGGUUUUUAUAUGUAUAUGCAUGUAGUCCUCUUAGUAUACUCUGUUGGUCUUAAGCUUUCGUUUGAAAAGUAUCCGUUUUGUAUAACUAAUAACGCAUCGUUCGAUGCGAGGUUUUGUUUUUAGUUCAUUCGAAUAUUUUACUAGAUAAAUGUAUUAGUAUUAUCUUNN